UGUCUCCUUUGUUCGCCCUCGUUGCGCAGUAGUGCGAGCUGCUUUCCCCUUCCGUUCUCGGGACCGACCGCCCUCCCGCGUGCUGAGCAGCUAGGAAGCUGCUGUCGGCGAGCUCGUAGGAGCUUGAAACCGUCGUCACCCCUCCAACAUUCACCGGGGGGAAAAAUGGUUGAAGCAGAUCGCCCAGGAAAGCUCUUCAUCGGUGGCCUCAAUACGGAAACAAACGAGAAAGCCCUUGAAGCAGUGUUUGGCAAAUAUGGACGAAUAGUGGAAGUUCUCUUGAUGAAAGAUCGCGAAACCAACAAAUCUAGAGGAUUUGCUUUUGUCACCUUUGAAAGCCCAGCAGAUGCUAAGGAUGCAGCGAGAGACAUGAAUGGAAAGUCCUUAGAUGGAAAAGCCAUCAAGGUAGAACAAGCCACUAAACCAUCAUUUGAAAGUGGUAGACGUGGACCACCUCCACCUCCAAGAAGCAGAGGCCCUCCAAGAGGCCUUAGAGGCGGAAGAGGAGGAAGUGGAGGAACUAGGGGACCUCCCUCACGUGGAGGGCACAUGGAUGAUGGUGGCUAUUCCAUGAGUUUUAACAUGAGUUCUUCCAGGGGACCACUUCCAGUAAAAAGAGGACCACCACCUCGAAGUGGGGGUCCUCCUCCUAAAAGAUCUGCCCCUUCAGGACCAGUUCGCAGCAGCAGUGGAAUGGGAGGAAGAGCUCCUGUAUCACGUGGAAGAGAUAGUUAUGGAGGUCCACCUCGAAGGGAACCCCUGCCCUCUCGUAGAGAUGUUUAUUUGUCCCCAAGAGAUGAUGGAUAUUCUACUAAAGACAGCUAUUCAAGCAGAGACUACCCAAGUUCUCGUGAUACAAGAGAUUAUGCACCACCACCAAGAGAUUAUACUUACCGUGAUUAUGGUCAUUCCAGUUCACGUGAUGACUAUCCAUCAAGAGGCUAUAGUGAUAGAGAUGGCUAUGGUCGUGAUCGUGACUAUUCAGAUCAUCCAAGUGGAGGUUCCUACAGAGAUUCAUAUGAGAGUUAUGGUUGAGAAUUUUGGUCAUGGUCAUGGAGUGCUGAUUGAUUCACAAUAGAUAAAGCUGGCAGCAAGAGAAAUGCAAUGCUAAGAGUUGUUGAAGCAGAAGAAUGCUGAUUGUCCUUAAGGCACAACAGUUGCAUAAGCAGUACUGAUCAGAAUUGGUUUGGUGCAGACAAGAUUUUUGCCUUCCAGGGUUCCUGUGGAUCUAAGGAAGGCAUCAACGUUGGUUAGCACUCUUAACUAGGGAGUGGCAGUUACUUUAAGUAAUUGACCAGAUGGAGAAAGGGGAGCAAUUAAGGAAAUUGGUAAGUGGAGGUAGUCAGGAAGUUCUAAGCAUUCUUAAUGUAGAUUUUACAGCUUUUGACUUCAUUUCCUUUAGCUAAAGUCAUAGGGAAGACAGCAAUUUAGAACUUCCUAAUUACCACUGAUUGUCAGAAAGUCGGAUUCGAAAAAUGAAAGGCAUAAGAGGUAACUUUAUCCAGGAAAGUGAUUUUUCAGCAAGUAAAGUGUUUCUUGGUGUUCAUCCAGAAGUGAGAUUUAGUCUUAAAACUAAAGGGGGAAGACUAAUAUCUGGAAACUAAGGUAACUGGAAACAUAGCUAAAAUGCUCAAAAGCACACUUUUAAAAACUGGAAACAGCAUUGGGCCGUUUGGCUUUUGUUGUUGUUUUUUCUUUCUUUCUUUCUUAAAAGAUAGUUGUUUUGUAAGCCUACUGCUUUACCCCCCACCCCACUUCAUAUCUUGGAAACAAAUCAAGGUACAGUACAGCUUUAUCAUUGCGUUGGAGACUGGAGCCAACAGUGUAAAAGCUGAUGUUCUCAAAGGAAACAGAUUUGAGUUGUUGGGCUAGAAGAAACUAACUCACUUGAAUUUUUGCCUAGUAAAUAAUCAGUACUGUCAUGUUUAACAUUUGCAAUUGUGGAAAAUAAUCCAGAAAUUUAACCCUCAUUUUGAUGGGCUCUUCUAAUCACAGACCAUCAGGGUAUUGACCAAAUUAAAAAAGUCAUUGCACUUGUGUCUUCCUCAAUCAUUCUGUAAUCUAAAUUACUUGAGUUUAUGCUUCCGUGGACCUUUUGGCUCUUGAGAUUUUAUUUAGGUAUCUUGAAGGUAGUGUAGAACAUAGAUUAAUCAUAGUAAACAUGAAUAAUACAUUGAAGAAUGCUUAAUGACCAGACAGCUGUUUGGCAAAUAGUUUAUUGACCCAGCAGACUUAAUUCUGCUCCUGUUGGAAAAAGAAUCGGUCUUGAUUCUUUUGGCUUUAUACUGGCUGUAAAAGAAACAGAAUAAUAUGUUUUCCUUGUUUAAUUGGUAGUUGAAUAUAGAACUUAGGUAUAAUAGAUGGCUUUUCUCUUUUUGGAAUGUUUUGUAUUUGAACCUUAAUAAAACUUAACAUGCAUGUUUGGCCCUGGGUUCUUUUUUAUAAUUUAUUUUGGCUUUUAAAUAAGGAUCUCCACAUGUCCCCCUCCCCCAAAUGCUAGCUCUCAGGCACUUAGCCCUUGCAGUUAGUUGCCAGGGAACAUAGUCACUGAGGUAGCCUACGACUAGGCUUCCUUUAUUAGGGGAGGGAGCUUCAGGCAGGCAUCAAGGUAAUUGGGAUGAUUUCAUUUAUUCCUUACCCUGGAAUUGGAGCAAUAACACCAAAGAACUAGAAGCUGAAGUACCAGAGAUGUACUAUAGUUCUUUUAAUAUUUACUGCUGGCUCCUGGAGGUUAGUUAAUUCGAUUUGGCAGAGUCCCACUUCAGACCAAGUCCCUCAGGGAUGCUGUUAAACCAGCACAUGAUUAGUGUGCUGCUUUAUUGGUAACUUUCUAUUGUACUGUUUCUAUGUACAUCUGACUCAUGUUUAUUUGCACUUGAUAAAAACUAAUUUAGUGACAAUUGUCCUUUAUUUCAGGGAAAACAAUCGAUGGAUUGGGAGUGCAGUGCCUCACAAGCAGUGAAGCACUGUUCCCAGGGGAUUUGGGGUAAGAGUUUUACAGAGUGUUAAAGAGGCAAUGAGGCAUCUGGCUGUGGGGUCCUGUUUUCUAGGGGAAGAUGAGCUAGCUAAAGCUGAGUUGGAGGAUUAUGGGUGUAUGUUAAAGGUCACCUUGACAGGUGUUUGUUUUCCUGUAAGCGUGGGCUGACAGGUUUACCUUUGUGAGGUGGGCUGGACUAUUGCAGCAGCCUUCAUUUUGUGGAUUCUGAUAUAUGUAUUAAGUUCUCAGCAUCUGAAACAGGGUAUUGUGAUUGGGUUAUAUAGCCAGUUGAAAGAACUUAUCACAUGGAAAAGCAGUGUUAGCCCUACGAUGACAAAAAGCCCUAAGUACUGUCAUUCUGUAAAUAACCUUGGCUCUGUACCAAUUGUUGAAAUAAUUGAAAAACUUAUUAAAUCAUCACAACCAUUUUUUAGUUGCAUAUGUCAACCUGAAAAUAUGCAUUCACAACAACAAGCUCAAUGUUUAUAAAUUUUGAAGGAAAUUUCAACCUGAAGCAUACUGCGAGAUUUGGUAAAAAGCAGUAAAACUAUCAAGGUCACCCCAGCAAGCUACCUUGUAGAAGUUACUUUUCCUUGAUUCCUGCAUUUAUCCCCUAGUGAUACAGACUGCCUGUUCUGGAACAUAAAUGCAGUCAAAUUGUGGGUUCUUAUAUAAGGCUUUCAUUAAGCAAAGUGCUUUUGAGAUUCAGCCAUGGUGUGUACGUAUGAGUAUAAGCAAAGUAUGGUUUACCUGUUGCUGGGAACCUGGGCUUUUUCAGCUCUUGGCUGUUAUGAAUAAAGUCCCUGUGAAUGAAAGUUCUUAUGCCAAUCUGUACAUGAUUAGAGAUGAAAGCAUUAGGUAUGAAAUUGCUGGGUUCUAAAAUGGGAAGUUUUAUAAGAAAUUGCCAGGCGAUUUUCUCCAAAGUUGUAUUACCACUAACAGUUCUGGUUACUCUAGACUCCAUCAAUGUUUGGUGUUUUUAAAAUUUAGCCAUUUUAUUGGGUACAUUGUAUCAUUGUGGAUUAAAUAUGUAUAUUCCUGAUGAAUAAUGAGUAGCAUAUUUUUUGAGUUAAAAUACAGUGAAAUGCAUAGAUGUCAACUGUUUGAUUAGUCUUAAAAAAUACUUUAAGUUUUAGACUGUAACCUUCACAUCAGGACAGAACAUUUCCCUCCAGGAAGUCCCCACCCCUUAGAGAAGCAACAUUGACUUGGUUUCUAUUGGUGUAGGAUAGUUUUUGUAUAUUUUAAUACUUUUUAUAAAUGAGUCCUAUGUCAGUGUACCUUCUGUUUAACUUUCAACAUAUUUGAAACUCCUCCAUAUAGUUGUAUUAGUUUGUUACUUUUUGUUGCCAGGUAGAAUUCCAGUGUAUCGUGUAUCCAUUCUGUUGAUGGACAUCUCAAGGCUGGUUUAGGUUUUGGGUUAUCAGGAAUAAUGUGCUGUGAAUGUUCUGGUGAAGGUCUUGAACGUAUACGUUCAUUUCUUCUGGAGAAAUAUCUGGCAGAGGAAUUGAUGGGGUGGGUAAUAGGGUAGAUGAUAUAUACUUAAUUUUAAGAAACUGCCAAAUAGUUUAAAAGUGACCACCAUUUUAUGCCCUCAUAGCAGUUUAUGAAAGUUCUGGUUGCUUUCCAACAUUUGCUGUUGUUGAUCUAUUCAGUUGUUAACCAUUUUAGUGGAUGGGUUGGGGUGGUAUCACAUUGUGAUUUUAAUUUGCGUUUUCCUGAUGACUAAUGGUGCUGAGCAUUUCUUAAGUAUUUGAUUGUGUGAGGUCUUAGUUGCUGCACGUGGGCUUCUUAGUUGUGGCAUGCGAACUCUUAAUAAACAACUUUUUUUUUUGGCUGUGUUGGGUCUUUGUUGCUGCACAUGGUCUUUAGUUGUGGUGAGCCGAGGCUACUCUUAGUUGUGCUGCUCGGGCUUCUCGGUGCAGUGGCUUCUCAUUGCAGAGCAUGGGCUCUGUCUAGGCACGUGGGCUUCAGUAGUUGCGGUGUGUAGGCUCAGUAGUUGUGGCUCGAAGGCUCUAGAGCACAGGCUCAAUAGUUGUGGCAGGCGGGCUUAGUUGCUCCGUGGCAUGUGGGAUCUUCUGGGACCAGGGAUCGAACCCGUGUUCCUGCAUUGGCAGGUGGAUUCUUAACCACUGUGACACCAGGCAAGUCCCUGGCAUGCUGAUUCUUAGUUGCAGCAUGCAUGUGGGAUAUAUAGUUCCCUGAUCAGGGGUGGAACCCGAGCCCUGAGCGUGGAGUCCCAUCCACUGUGCCACUAGGAAAGUCCUGAGCAUUUCUUAAAAAAACCUUUUAUUUUGGGAUGAUUUUUAAAUUUACAGAAAAGUUACAUAGAUAACAUAAGGCUCCUGUGUAUCCUUCACCCAGUUUGCCCUAACUUUAAUAUCUUAUAUAAGCAUGGUGUAUUUGUCAAAACUAAGAGAUUAGCAUUGGCAUAUGAACUAAUAAACUAGACUUUAUUGAAGUUUCACAAAUUUUCUGCUACUGUCUUUCUGUUCCAGGACCUAGUCAAGUAUCACACCUUCUGUUUCACAUUGGGUAGUUUCUCAUGUUCUUAUAGCUGUUUUUAUAAGUUCCUUGAAAAACUGUCCAAGUUUUUUUGUCCAUUAAAACAAUUCUUUUAAAUAUAAAAUUCUCAAUAUAUUCUGGGUGCAAGGUCUUUGUCAGGUACAUGUGUUAAUAUUUUCUCAUAGUCUGUCUUGCCUAUUUUAUUUUUCUUGAUGAGCAAAUGAAAUCUAAUUAAUCAAACAUUUUAUGGUUAUUGCUUCCUGUGAUAGAUCAAUUGAAUUCCAGGUCAUGAAGAUUUUUUUUCCUUUCUUCUGCAAAGUCUGGUAGUUUUAAGUUGUUAGGUCUAUGAUUCAUUUUGAAUUGACUUUUUUAUGGUGAGGGUAGGGGUUUAAGUUUACUUCUUAAUAUAUGGACUUAAAUUUAUUCUAGUGUCUGUUGUUGCUAAGACUACUCUUCAAUUGUUUCAGUGUCUUUGUAGGAACCAUAGGUCCAUUACUGUGCUUAAAAUUAAUAUAACCCUAACCCUUAUCUUACUGUGGCUUUAUAGUAAGCUAGAAAUACCAGUUUUUAAAGUUUUCCUCCUGUAUUUUUUUCUCCUUGAAGUUAUUGUUGCUUAUUUCUACUUUUCUACUUUAAACUCUCUCUUCCAUGUUAGAGGCUUUCCUCAAGUGAGUGGAGAUUUUUGGUUUGGUGCUCAUGAUUGAUGAUGAGUAGGGUAUUAACACGUUUACAAGCUCUGAGGGCUUGACUUCACAGCUUCACUGUGGUGGCUGUUUGCUGGGGGAAAUCCUGAUGCCCUUGCCUGUGGGGGUUCUCUUCUUGGGAGAGUCACAUUCCUCAAGGAAAUCCUGGGCCAAAUUCCUGUCUGGAGGGUCUUAGGUUUAUUUACUGGCUUUAAAUGUAGGUGUGGGGUGGAGGGGAUGGGAGGUGACUCCACCUGUGUGCCUGCCUGUGUAAUAUGUGCACCCCACACACACACUCCCAACAGCUCUGGUGCUGUCUUAACGUGACCCUUGGCACCGCUGUUCUGUCUUGCCAUGGUGAUGAGGUGGACAGUGAUCUUUACCGAGCAACCCUGGGGGAACAAAAGGACACAAUCAGAAAGUUUUUCCUCUGGCCUUUUGUCCAUGGUGUGUGCCCCUCUUUCAUUUUAGGCCACUGCGCCCCCCUCCCCCCCCACCCCAGACUUACCAUCUCCAGUCUUGGUGUUCCUCAGUUUUAUCUGAACUAUGAGAAUUCCAGCUCCAGCAUUACCGGCUGUGUGACCUUAGGCAAGUUAUUUAAUCUCUCUGGUCUUGUUUUUUCAUCUGUAAAAUGGGGUUAAUAAUACCUUAUAGCAUUGGCUGGGAAGAUUAAAUGAACCAGCAGUGCCUGGCACAUGGUAAAUGCUGCAUAAUAGAUUUCAUCAUUAUUUGACAAUUUGCCUUCUUUGUGUCAUCUUCAGGGUUGGAAUUGGAGGGAGCCAGCACCUUAUGUUAGAUCAGCAUCUUGUCAAGGACUGAAAGUCCCUACUGCAAGCCAAUGUUUGUUCUUUCUCUCCUGAGUCAUAUUCCUCAAUUUUUUGUUAAUUGUUAAUGAUGAGUCCAUACAAGACUCUUCUCAUUUUCACUUUUUAUUCUCACUCCCUGCCCACCAGUGGCAAGCAUUCUAAUGCAUUUAAUGUAUAUCCUUCUUGUUUCUGUUCUUAUUGAAUGUAAAUCAAUGUUUUGCAUGCAUAUAUUUAAAAUUAAGUAGUAUGGUGUUAUAUAUUUGUUUCUUAUAACUUGUCAUCGCCAAGUGUUGAAGAUUUGAAGAUGUUGGAAAUACACAUCUAGUCCACUGGCUUCUAACUAGCAUGGUAUUCAAAGGUGUGUAUUUGCCUAUCCACUCUCCCAGUUUGGUGUGUAAGCUAUUCUUCCUGGGUUGUAGUGUGUAUCUGGCCGCCUGUAACAUCCUGAGAUUUGACCCUAGUUAUGGGUUUAAUGGCAGUUAGAAGUGGCUGUGGUGGAUCUUAAGGAGAAUACCAUCCCCUUUCAAGGAAUCUGCUGCCCCAGGUGAAGUUAUCCCAGUAUUUUUAAGCAGAGGAAGACUGAGUCGUACAGAUAUUGCAGGACAAGCACUCAGAUGAACUCAGAAAAAUCCAGCUAACACCGGUUUGAUGGGCAUGGUUACUGGUGUAAUGGUUAUGUGCAGCAGCUGCUUCGUUUGGCACUUCCUGAUUCAUUGUGACUGUGCCUGCGUGCCACAGGGUACUAGCAUCCUUUUUUUCUCACGUGCAAGGAGCACUGCCCUCGAGCCCAAAGGCAUGAACAAAGCAGUCCCCAAAUCCUGUUUUUGUGGGCCUGGAGUUGUCACUCUCCAGGGUCUAUCUCCAGGUCCAUUCAGUAUUUACUUGGGUCCAGUAAAGAGAGGGAAACUACACAGUACUUUGAACAGGGAAGGUUUGAUAUAAAGAAUUAUUUAACAUAGAUAGCAUAAGGAGGGAUUACUUAGAAGUAAAAAGAACUCUUAAGAAUAUAGGAAUUGCAGAUAGAAUAAUGUAACAACAUGUAUAAUAACCACUAUUUCUAGGACCAAGAUGGAAUACUCAAGGAAGAGCCACACCCGGUUCUGAAGAAGGCUUUUAUUAGGGAGGUGUCUCACCAGUGGUACUCUGCUAUAACACUGACCAGGAAGGGGAGUUAGCCGGGAGGCUGCUGCCCAUGGCUCACUACAGGAACUGAGCACAGUUAAGGGCCUGAGGCAGGAGACACCCACCUCCACCAGGAGAAGCUGCCCAGGCUGGAGAAACACAGGACACCCUGCCAAGCAAGCCUACCUCAACCAGGAGGCAAAACUCUUAUCUCCUUGCAAUCUCUCCAAUGUCUUACUGACAAAACUUACUGUGAUGUGAUAUGGUAAGAAGUACGCACUUGGGUCUUCAUCCCCAGCCCCUGAAACAGCUCCAGAGUGAUAAAGGUGAAAAGAGCAUCUUUUGUUGUAAUACUUGGUUUUUCCUGAAAUAAUUCCAGAGUGGCAAAAGUAAAAAAAGAUUGUCUUUUGUUCAUAACAAGCCCCUUUCAACCACACCGGAGUUUGUUAAUGAAGUGACUUUUGGAAAGUCCCUAGGGGUGUAGGGCUGGUUGUCAGGGAACCAACUGUGUGAUUAGAGGCUUGGAACUUUCAGCCCCACCUCCUGACCUCAGGGAGGGGAGGGGAGUGGCCAGUGAUUUAAUCAUGCCUGUGUAACAAAAGCUUCAUAAAAACUCUAUCCAAAAGGGUAGGGGGAGAGCUUCCCCGUUGGUGAAUACUUAGGUGAAUAUGUAGAGUUGCUGAGAGGGUGGUGUGCCCAGACAGAGCAUGGAGGCUCCAUGCCCCUUCCCCGGACCUUGCCCUAUGCAUCUCUUCCAUCUGGCUGUUCCUGAGUUAUAUCCUUUUAUAAUAAAUGGGCAGUAGUGAUUAAAGCACUAUCCUGAUUUCUGUGUGCUGUUCUAGCAAGUUAUUGAACCAGACUAGGUGGUAGGGGGAACCCCUGGUUUACAGCCAGUCAGUCAGAAGCACAGGAGGCCCAGGGUUGUGAUUGGCAUCUUAAGUAGUCCUGUGGGACUGAGCUCUUAACUUGUGGAAUUUGACACUACAGGUAGCUUGAAUUGAAUUGAAUUAAAUUGCAGGCCACCCAGCUGUUGUCAAAGAAUAGAGCAGUGUGGGAAAAUACCCACACUUUUGGUGGCCAGAAAUCUUGAGAGGAGUAGAAUAGAGGAGUCAAGUUUUCCUUUUACCUAAUGUUAUGCCAGUUGGCAAACGAAAAAUAUUUAAGGGCUCAGAUUCAUUUUGAUAGAACAAGCAACAGGAGUGAAUUUGAAGCUGAGAGGCAAUAAAUUGAUAACUGGUAUGAAGGGUAAAGUUAGUCUCAUAAAAUAAAUUGGGAUUUUUUUUUUUUUUUUGCCACACUACAAGGCUUGUGGGGUCUUAGUUCCCUGACUAGGCAUUGAACCUGGGCCCUCAGCAGUGAAAUCAAGGAGUCCUAACCACUGGACUUCCAGGGAAUUCCCACCUCUGUUUUCUGAAAGAGUGUUCAAGAUUGGUACUGGCUUUUCCUUAAAUGAUAGAAUUCACUAAUGAAAUCAUAUGGGCCUGGAAUUUUCUUUGUGAGGAGAUUUUUUUUAUUGCAAAUUAAAUUUCUUGAGUAGAUAUAGGUCACAGUUACUGUGGUGUUUUUUUUGUUUUCUGUUUGUUUUUUUGGCUGCUUUGAGUCUUAGUUGCAGCAUGCAGGAUCUUUGUUGCAGCACACUGGCUUAGUUGCCCCGCGGCAUGUGGGAUCUUAGUUCCCUGAUCAGGGAUUGAACCUGAGUCCUCUGCAUUGGAAGGCAGAUUCUUUCUUUCUUUCUUUAUUGGCUGCAUUGGGUCUUUGUUGCUGCACACAGGCUUUCUCUAGUUGCAGCGAGCAAGGGCUCCUCAUUGCGGUGGCUUCUUGUCGCAGAGCACGGGCCCUAGGGGCGUGGGCUUCAGUGAUAGGGCACAUAGAUGCAACAGUUGUGGUGCGCAGGUUCAGUAGUUGUGGUGCACGGGCUUAAUUGCUUCGCGGCAUGUGGUAUCUUCCUGGAGCAGGGAUUGAAUCCUUGUCCCCUGCAUUGGCAGAUGGAUUCUUAACCACUGCGCCACCUAGGAAGUCCUGGAAGGCAGAUUCUUAACCACUGAACCACCAGGAAAGUCCCCACAGUCACGAUUGUUAUGUUGCAUGGUAAAAGGGUUUUUACAGAUAUAAUUAAGAUUAUUAAUCGGCUGACUUGGGGACUUCCCUGGUGGUCCAGUGGGUAAGAAUCCGUGCUCCCCAAUGCAGGGGGUCUGGGCUCAAUCCAUGGGCCGGAAACUAGAUCCCACAUGCUGCAACUAAGAGUUCACAUGCCACAACGAAGAUCCCAUGUGCCACAACUAAAACCCGGCACAGGCUAAAUAAAUAUUUUUUUUAAAAGUUAAUUGAUUUUGAGUUAACCAAAAGGGGUAUUAUCUGAGUAGGCCCAACAUAGUCUCAUGAGCUCUUUAAAAACAGAAUUUUCUCUAGCUGGUAGCAAAGGAGGCAGUCAGGGAGAUUCGAACAUGGGAAGGAUAUCAUGUGCCAUUACUUGGUUGAAGAUGGAGGGCACUCAUGUCAAGGAAUAAGGGUAGCCUCUAGAAGCUGAGAACAGCCCCAGGCUGACAGCCAGCAAGGAACGGGAACUAAGUAAUACCAUCAACCCAAAUGAGCUUGGAAGCUGAUUCUUCUCCAGAACCUUAAGAGAAUAGCCCCGCCCAGCCAAUGCCUCGAUAUUAGCCUUAGGUGAACCUAAGCAGAGAACCUAAUAGGACUGACUUGGACUUCUGACCCACUCCGCCCACCCCACCCCCAAACAUCCAUUUGAUUAGCUCUCUUAUUUCCCUCAAGUCUUUGCUCAUCUCACCCCCUCAAGGAGGCCUACCCUGACUGUCCUAUUUAAUACUGCAAUCUGCCCAUCCUGUCUCUCCCCAUGCCCAGCAGGCCUGAACUCUUACCCCGCUGUAGUUUUUCCCCCAUAACUUUUGUUACUUUCUUACAUACUAUAUUAUUUACCUAUUAUAUCCAUUAUUUAUUUUUUGUCUUCCCUUGUUAGAAUAUAACCUCCAUGAGAUCAGGGAACUUUACCUGUUUGUUUAUUGAUGUGUCUCAAAAGCCUGGCAGAGUAGGAGUUCAACAAAAAUGUUGAAAGAUUGAAUACACUCUUCUCCCCUUACGUACUCUUCUAAAAAUGUCUUUGCCUAACACACUUCAACUAUUUUGCAUGUAUCCCCAAAUAUAUUGCUCUGUGGCCAAUCCCAAAGGAAAACAACUCAAAGUUUUGUGAAUAAUUGCAUUCAAUUCCAAAUGCAGAAUUUCUGGGAUCUUAACCUUUAUAUUCUCCUAGAUACAAACUAAAAAUGUUAAAUUUAUCCCCAAACGUUCUAUGUAAAGUAUUGGGAGGAAACAAGAGUAUGAUACAGGAAGGGAAACUACAACCCUUGCUUGGUAACUGGUCACAAGGCUGUAAUUGGUAUUUAUAAUAUUCUCCCUAAAAAAUCUAUUUUAUAUACUCUUUUACCUCAGUUAAUGGUAUUUUAUUUGGUAAUAUAACCUAAACCUUCAUUCCUGAGGCGUCCAACUACCUGUGUGUUGUAGUAAUCUUUAACUUUUAAAAAACAUUAAAAAAAAGUGUAACAGGAAAGGAAGCAAAGCAACUUCCACCUCUGACCAUGUUGGGGUAAUUGGUACUGAACCUGCUUUCCCACCAUAAACAACUGUAAAACUGGACAAAAUAUAAGGAGACAACUAUUUUCAGGCAUCGCUCAGUAUUUCAGGAGUACAAUCCCUGAGAGAAGGGAAACACACAAAGGGAGGUACAUAUGCACUCCAUUAUCUGGCCUGGGACACUUUCCUGACUGCAACACAGGGAGGUAGAGUCCAGAUCUCACCAGGUUAAAAUGAAGGUGUUAGGAUGACUGCAUUUGUCUCUGUAAGCUGGAGAAGAUCCAUUUUCUUGCUUAUUUGAUUUGUUGGUAGAUUUCAUUUCCUUGGGGUUACAGGACUGAGGUCCAUGUUUACUUGUAGGCAGUUCCCAGCUUCUAGAGGCUACCAAAUCCCUUGGCACGUAUCCCCCUUCCUCCAACAUCAGAGUCAACAAUGGCAGGUGGAGUCCUUGUGAUAUUGCAUCUCUCUGACUUCUGCUUCUUUCUUCCACUUUUAGGAUUCUUGUGAUUUGAUUGCCCCACCCCCCCAUGGAUAAUCCAGAAUAAUCUCACUAUUUUUUUGUAAACUGAUUAGUAACUUUAAUUCCAUCGGCAUCUCUAACUCCUUUUCUCCAUGAAAUAUAGCAUAUUUAUAGGUUCCGGGGAUCAAACAUGGACAUUUUUUUGGGGGGGGGGGGACCAUUAUUCUGCCUGCCACACAGGGUAUGUUCUCUGACUGUAAUGGAACCAAACUAGAAAUCAAUAACAGAAAUACAAGGUGGUCCAGUGGUUAAGACUCUCCGCUUCCACUGGAGGGGGCACGAAUUUGAUCCGUGGUCGGGGAACUAAGAUCCCACAUGCCUCAGGGUGUGGCCAAAAAAAAAAAAAAAAAAGAAA